UGAGCAAUCUGCCCUUCUCAUCGGAAUAAGCGUUGGAAACGACGUCUAAUGCCGAAUACGACCUCCUUUCGCAUGAUCGGAGGUGGAAAGCUCCGGCGGUGAAGGAUGAGCUCGCGGCCUAUCAGCUUGUUGGUGAGGUAAUAGCUCACCAAGGCGAUGACGGGUAGCCGGCUGGAAACGGGUGACCGGCCACACGUGGGACUGACGCCACGGCCCAGACUCCGUAGGGA
rnacentral:rRNA from 1 species